rnacentral:piRNA from 1 species
UGACUUAAAAGUGUAUCGUGCUGUUGA